CCAGUCGGUUAUGUGAUGUGUUUGUGUCACCAUAAAAAGCUGAUAUUCAGUCGUGUUUUUUGAUAUUUUUGUUAUUUCAUAAUCGAGUACCUUUUUAAAGGUCUAAUGGCUCCGUUCAGCUGUUGUGUGCAGACGGUGAAAAAAUUCGACAAGUAAACAUUUAUUUAAUCCAAAUUACUCAAUAUUUCUAUGUAAAAUGUCACAUUAUUGUAUAAAUAAAUAAGUAAGAAACAAAA
rnacentral:lncRNA from 1 species